rnacentral:sRNA from 1 species
AUAUGGCAGUAGUAUCUAUGAAGCGCAGGGAAUGAGCUCUUCCACCAAAUUCGGACGGGACGAUCAGGAGACCGUUUUAUACUGGUUUUGGUCGCGUGCUAAAAGUUCAUAACUGGUAGGGCAACGUCCGUCGUUGGGAAGUUCAAACUGCGUUGUGGCUAGAAGCUAAAAAAGCAUACCCAUCUCGAGUUUAUUUAUUUUCUUGGUAAAGUUAGAGAGCUUUUCGUCUUUUGCUCCACUGGUUUUUAGAGUUCCAGUGGUGGGUUACGCUCAUUAUUGAGUCCGUGGUUGUGGUUGCGGUUUCGGGGCUAACUUCAUGUUUUUUUUUUUUCCAAUAUGCAGUCAGUCUGUCUCAUGUAACAUGGAGUUGGUGAGAAUGAAUGGUUGGAGACGUAAAGUUGGAUCAAUGGCUCAGCGCGAUGUCUUUGAGCCAACGAUAUGGUCAAAAAGGAGUGGAGCCCAGGUUGAGGAGGUAUGUUUAGAUUAGUUAUGCUUUACCUGCAACUCUCAAGGUGUCAUCCUCCCUUCGACAAAACUGCAUCAACUCAGCUCGAAUUUGCGAGGAGUGCAGCAGUGAUAAAUAACAUCAACCGGAUAGCAACUGUGUAGCUAACUAGCACUUUGCAUUUUAUUUACAUGUAGCUCCGUCCCAUACAGUAGAUAUCGCGCGGCCGGAAGAGGGCUUUACUUCGCGCACAAGAUUUUAUCACUUGCCCGAGACAGAAAUUACCUCGAUAGUUACCAGUGCUAAUAGCCAAUAAUAAUAGCUUGG